CAAUGAACUUAAGAUUUAUUAAUAAGAAUUUAUUCUUCUAUGAAA
rnacentral:tRNA from 1 species